ACCGAAUAGGACUACGCGAUGCAUGUCGUGUGGUGGAAAGCUUUUGCGGUGUGGGAUGGGCCCGCGGCCUAUCAGCUUGUUGGUGAGGUUACGGCUCACCAAGGCGACGACGGGUAGCCGGCCUGAGAGGGUGACCGGCCACACUGGGACUGAGAUACGGCCCAGACUCCUACGGGAGGCAGCAGUGGGGAAUAUUGCACAAUGGGCGCAAGCCUGAUGCAGCGACGCCGCGUGAGGGAUGACGGCCUUCGGGUUGUAAACCUCUUUCGCCAGGGACGAAGCGCAAGUGACGGUACCUGGAGAAGAAGGACCGGCCAACUACGUGCCA
rnacentral:rRNA from 1 species